GUGAAAUGGCGCCGGGGGCCCAGCCGGCCACGGCCCCUUGAGUUCCUUGUUUUUGUUUUUGUUUCUCUGCUUGUGUUUUAAUGAAGCUCACGGAUUUGAGUAGAAACAGAUUUCUCACAAACUUGCUUCUCUCCGGCUCGAUUUCACAGCUCGGCAUACAUUUGGGCUGUCUCAGGCUUGACAGCGUUCCAGGGAAAAUACUAACUGUAAACUUUGCAAGGAGAAUUAAAGGAGCAGGCAGAAAUGUCAGGAGGGUGUCCUCCCUUCACAAAGCACAGGCAUCUGCACCGAAGGCUUCCAGUAAGGUCCUACCUCUGCAGGGCACAGCGGGAAGGAAGGAAAAAUAGAUAAUUCCCCUUUGGCCGAAGGCAUGAAGGAGCUCUCUUCCUCUCAGGCCUGACCAGUUGAACAUUGCACACUCUGGUGUAUAAAUAUUUGCCUCUGGCUGAAGUUCAAGCCCUAUGUGGCUGCCAGACACAACAGAAAACCAACAUUCAAGGGAAAGUGUUUACUGCGGUGAUGGCCAAAGGAACAACAGCCAACAAAUGAGCACAUCUGAUUGGCCAGGCCUGCCUAUGGCAAUAUCAGAAAGCACCAGGCCACUAGCCACUGACCACUGGGGUAUUCCUACCCCUUCAGGAAAGGCUACGUUCUUUAAUACAAGACCAGAAGACUUGCUGGUGGUUUCCCAUGUGUUCCUCCAGAGCAAGCAGCCCAAAUAAUCCUAAACCAUGCUCUUAACUCUUACCACUCCAGCAAAACAAGUGGAUGCUUCUUCAAGUUACCCAAGUAGGAUCUCUAGCCUUUUUGUAUGUUUCUCCCUUUUCAGGUUCAGGGUAAGGCUAUCUGCAUGUCUCCCAAUUCCCAUUACUAAGUGUUCUGUAAUAGAGGUCUUUAAUCAUCAUCUGGUGAAUUUUAAGCUUUUUUUUUUAAACAUUCAAGGGGAAAAAAAAAGAAACCUUUGAAAGGUAUCUAAACUCAAUUUAUUUAUUUUGAAAGAUAAGAGCUUGAACCCAGAGCCUUGCACACAUUAAUCAACUGGCUACUACUGAACUAUAUCCAGGCUGGUAUUUGUUUGUUUUUUGAGAUUAGGUAUAUUAAAAAGUAGACUGCUCAUUCUGGUCUUGAAUUCACUCUGGAGCCAAGACAAGUUUCAAUCUUAGGAUUCUCUUGCCUCAGUUUCCCAUGUAUAUAUUUCUACAGCUGGUUAAGAUAUUGCAAAGUCAUACACCCUUCAAAAUGCCUCACCCCAAACUAGAAUAGUUCUAAAACAUAUAGAAAUAAUAAAACUGGUCAUCCAAAGAUUAAGAUCUCUAACGGGGAUAAAGAAACUAAAUGAAAAAGGAUCAUCAAGAAAAUCUUCAGAAAGUAAUGAACUCAUGGGUCAUAUUAAGCAUGUAGCUGACAAGGCCGUUUUCCAACAGUUUCUAUAUGGGGGAGGGGAUUCUUAAUACAACUGAAGUACAUUAUGAACUUUUGAUCAUUGUCAUCUUUAUAGUCCAGUCUAAAUAAACAGUUCAUGAAUCACACUUUUCCUUAGCAUUGCAAAGGAAAUAUAUUUAGCUGAACUGAAAAGAUAUUUUUUAAAAGUACAAAAAAAUUUAGAAAUAUAAAGAUAUGAAAAGUUUUAAAUUAUUUUGAUUUUAUGUCACAAUAAUUUAGGUAAAACAAACUGCUGUUAGGGAUGUUGUUGUUGUUUUGUUGUUUUUGUUUUGCUAUUGUUGUUUUUUUUUUUUUUUUUUGAGACAGGGUUUCUUUGUGUGAUAACCUUGGCUGUCCUAGAAUUCACUCUGUAGACAGGCUGGCCUUGAACUCACAGAGAUCCCACUGUCUCUGCCUCCCAAGUGCUGGGACCAAAGGCAUGUGCCACCAUACCUAACUCUGCUGUUAGGUUUUCAUUUUUUAAAAUAAAAUAUGCAUUUGGUGAACUAAAACAUUUGCUAUUCAUUGAAAACAAAAAGUUUAUAUCCUACACAAUAUACAGGAUUAGUUUUGAAAAUUCCUCAAGAGCUCAAAUCUUGAUUAACCAUCCUAGGCUUAAGGAAACUUCUAAAUUUGAUUUCAUUACAAAACUAAAAUAAUUUGUUGAGUAAUUCCAUUUUCAAAUGUUCAUGAAGCUUUUAACAACUAUAUUGCCCUCCUGCGAUUCUCAACCAAAUGGUCCACUUAAAUUUGUCUGUAUUGAACCUUAGAAGCCCAGGAUUUAGCAUUGAGUCCAGCUUUCAAGUGAUCCCUGAGAAUCCUGUGCAAGGGGGUCACAGAGGAAUGCUCUGUUCCCAGCUGUGAACAAGACAGAAUUAGCUCUGAGAUGUUUCCUCCCACUGCCCUACUGGACGGAAAGGUCGAGAUGGUCAGCUCUUGUAGUCUCAGCAUGAACCGUCAAAACAACAUGCAUGAUAAAAAUAGAUUGUCUGUAGCAAACAAAAUACAAAUGCAGAAAGAAUUGAAAGUAAAAAUAGUUUUAAUGUAUUUAAAUGGCAGAUCAAACACUUUCAAAGAACGUAACCUAAAACCAAAGAGUGAAAGGAUAGAGCAAUAAAUAAUUUUUUUUUAUUUUAUGAACUCUCGAGUUUUAAAAUUUGAAAAGCAAUCAUUCUGACCCAUGGCUGACACUUUUCUUAGGAAAUUCUUCGGAUUCACAAGUAAUUCACUGGGAAUUAAAACACUAGGGGCAAAUUUACCACUCUUAUUUGUUUCUAUUUUGAUAACUGCAUUUUUCCCAUCCCUAUUUCUAUGGAAAUAAACAUGCUGUUUACUAUGUUUGUUUACCUAUCAGUGGGGAUUAUGGUUGAAAUAUUAUGAGGUUCUCUUUAAUUUAGUGAAAUAAGCAGUAUGUUCCGAUGUGCUAUGAUAGGAUCCAUUCAACCACAAUGGUGAAGAGAGGACGCAAGGGUAGCUGCUGCCUUAGAUGUAAGUAGAUACUUAAGACUCAUCACAAGCAGCAUGGCUAAUAAAAUGUGGCAUUUGUAUGGUAAAAUGCUAAAACAAUAAAACUAAACUGGUGAAGAAAGCAAUACUAUCUUAAGAGACUUUUACACUGAAUAAAAUGUAUCUUCU
rnacentral:lncRNA from 1 species